AUGAAACACAACAAACAAGAAUCCGACAAGGACAGGAACAGAAACAGAGAGAGAUAUAGGGACCUAAUCAGAGGGAAAAAGGGAACAGGUGGGAAACGGGGUGAAUGGGUAGUUAGAGGAGACAAGGACAGGAACAGAAACAGAGAGAGAUAUAGGGACCUAAUCAGAGGGAAAAAGGGAACAGGUGGGAAACGGGGUGAAUGGGUAGUUAGAGGAGACAAGGAACAGCUGGGGGAAAGCGGGGGAGAAAAGGUAACCUAACAACGACCAGCAGAGGGAGACAGGGUGAAGGGAAAGGACAGAGACAAGACACAACAUGACAGUACAUGACAGACAGUGUGUUAUUGUGCUUUGGCCACUUGUGUAGUAUGAGUGUGUGAUGGUGCUAUGAAGUAUAUCGUUCCUUAUGAUAAAUUAUUAUGUAUAUUGAUAUUUAUGAUAAAUGAUGAAGUAUAUUGUUCCUUAUAAUAAAUUAUGAGGUAUAUUUAAGCUAUAAGGCCCGAGGAGGUGUGGUUAUGGCCAAUAUCCCAACGCUAAGGGCUGUUCUUAUGCAGGACGUAGCGUGGAAUGCCUGGAUACAACCUUUAGCCAUGGUAUAUUGGCCAUAUACCACAAAUCCCUGAGGUGCCCUAUUGCUAUUAUGAACUGGUUACCAACGUAAUUAGCACAGUAAAAAUAAUGUUUUGUCAUACCCAUUGUAUACUGUUUGAUAUAUCAUGGCUUUUAGCUAAUCAGAAUUCAGGGAUCAAACCUCCCGGUUUAUAAUGUUACUACUAAUAAAUUAUGAGGUAUAUUGUUCCUUAUGAUAAAUUAUGAGGUAUAUUGUUCCUUAUGAUAAAUUAUGAGGUAUAUUGUUCCUUAUGAUAAAUUAUGAGGUAAAUUGUUCCUUAUGAUAAAUUAUGAGGUACAUUGUUCCUUAUGAUAAAUGAUGAUGUAUAUUGGUCCUUAUAAUAAAUAAUGAGGCAUAUUGUUUCUUAUGAUAAAUUAUGAGGUAAAUUGUUCCUUAUGAUAAAUUAUGAGGUACAUUGUUCCUUAUGAUAAAUGAUGAUGUAUAUUGGUCCUUAUAAUAAAUAAUGAGGCAUAUUGUUUCUUAUGAUAAAUUAUGAGGUAAAUUGUUCCUUAUGAUAAAUUAUGAGGUACAUUGUUCCUUAUGAUAAAUGAUGAUGUAUAUUGGUCCUUAUAAUAAAUAAUGAGGCAUAUUGUUUCUUAUGAUAAAUUAUGAGGUAAAUUGUUCAUUACAAUAAAUGGAUCACGGAGAUGAAAAUUGAAGGAACCCGGGGUUGGAACCGGUUCAGGGAACAGAACCGGAAACCGGAAGAUUAAUACUUUUUUCAGGGAAGAAAAAUGGAACCUGGAACAAAACUGUUCCUGGAAAAUAACUAUUAUUUUAAAGCAUGGGAACCGCUUAAUAACGUUAUUUUAAGUUCCAGGCGUUUUUUUCUAGUUCCACAACAAAGCACCUAUGCAAAGCCCUCACUCUGUCACUCACAAACUUUUUCCAGUGUCUGCCUGUAAGCUGAAAAUCUUUACCUGUGUGUGUUUAGGCUACCUGCCACUCCCCCUCCGAAGCAUAGCCUACUGUACUGACGUUACAAGCUUGAUUCAGAAGAUAGGGAGAGAAAUGUUGAAUUAGAUAGAGAUGAAUGAAUAAAAAAAAAUUCUGUGCUAUUAUCACGUUUGACAUUGGAUUUAUUAACUAAGACGUGUUUUUAAUUCUGGUGCUGCUUUGCACACACAAGCACAUUAGCUAGCUAGCUCAAAGGACAUUAAAAUUGUAUAAUUAUGUGGACCUAAUUCACAUAAUGCAUGUCAUAACAAGAUGCCCAGCGCUUCAAGCCUCCUCCUGAACCCUCUCUUAAUCUCUCCCCACCCGCAAAAUUUCAGUCGCAUCUUGCGCCAUAGGCUCCACUUCUCUGUCCAUCACGCAUGUAAACAACUAGCUUUCCUGCUCUAUCCUCACUGAUUGGUGAAGUCAUUUAAUGAGCUAAAUGUAAACAACUGUUAAUUUCACAGGUUCAAAAGGAACAAUUUAAACCUGUACUUUUUGGGGUUCUAACCAUUUCAGAACUUUAUUUUUCUGGUCGGAGCAGUGGAACGAAACCAAAAAAAUGGUGGUUCUGUACAGAAUGAAACGAUUGGGGAAAUGCAAUUCCUUGAGCGGAGCUUGGUGUAAUCUGGUCACCUUGUUUGAAUGUUAAGUCAUGGUUAUGACAUGCCAAUUUAAAUGCAUUCCUUCGUUCGGCCCAGCCUGUAUGAAACUGGAGUCUCUAUUUCCUGUUUGGCAGGAAAGAGAGGCCGAAAGAUAAUGCCUUUUACAGAGAGACAGACGUCCCACUCUUUCUGAAGCGGAGGUUCAGGAAAUGAAUGAAUUUCUCCCAGGGAGGGAGGGUGGUGGGGUGGUUAGGGAGGGGGGUGGUUAGUGGGUUCUCUGUACCACCUUGUUGUGUGAACUGGUUUUGGGUGAGUGGGAGACAGAGGGGUACAGGGUGGAUCACUGUAGAAGACGACAGGUAGCUUAGGGGUUAUUAAGAACAUUGGGCUCCUUAACGACAGUUCGAAUCACCAAGCCGAUUAGGUGAAAAAUAUGUUGAUGUACACUUGAGCAAGGCACUUAUCCCAAUUGCUCCUGUAAAUCACUCUGGAUAAGAGCAUCUGAUAAACGACACAAAUGUAAACAUGAGAAUCUGCAUAGACCUCCCCUUCAAAUCCACUGAACUGUUUCUAUAACAUUACUUAACCUAAAUUGACCAAUUACAAUCAACCUAGCGUGCAGUACAGAACACAAGACAAGAUGCCGUGUGUUUGUGUGUGUAAACAUAUGUGUAUAACCAUGCGCCCAUGUGUGUCUGCAUGUGUCUGUUUGAGAAUGGAAACCAGGUGUUUUUGUGCUCUUCCAACAACAGUAUGUACAAUAGCGGUUGCACUGUCAGCUAGCAGUGUGACCCCAGCAGGAGCCUUCAC
rnacentral:lncRNA from 13 species